rnacentral:rRNA from 1 species
GUGGGGAAUUUUGGACAAUGGGCGCAAGCCUGAUCCAGCAAUGCCGCGUGCAGGAAGAAGGCCUUCGGGUUGUAAACUGCUUUUGUACGGAACGAAACGGUCCGGGUUAAUACCCUGGGCUAAUGACGGUACCGUAAGAAUAAGCACCGGCUAACUACGUGCCAGCAGCCGCGGUAAUACGUAGGGUGCAAGCGUUAAUCGGAAUUACUGGGCGUAAAGCGUGCGCAGGCGGUUUUGUAAGACAGGAGUGAAAUCCCCGGGCUCAACCUGGGAAUUGCGCUUGUGACUGCAAGGCUGGAGUGCGGCAGAGGGGGAUGGAAUUCCGCGUGUAGCAGUGAAAUGCGUAGAUAUGCGGAGGAACACCGAUGGCGAAGGCAAUCCCCUGGGCCUGCACUGACGCUCAUGCACGAAAGCGUGGGGAGCAAACAGGAUUAGAUACCCUGGUAGUCC